rnacentral:rRNA from 1 species
CUAAUACAUGCAAGUCGAGCGAACAGAUGAAGUGCUUGCACUUCUGACGUUAGCGGCGAACGGGUGAGUAACACGUAAGGAAUCUACCUAUAAGCGGGGGAUAACAUUCGGAAACGGGUGCUAAUACCGCAUAAUAUCUUCUUCCGCAUGGAAGAAGAUUGAAAGACGGCUCUGCUGUCACUUAUAGAUGACCUUGCGGUGCAUUAGUUAGUUGGUGGGGUAAUGGCCUACCAAGACGAUGAUGCAUAGCCGACCUGAGAGGGUGAUCGGCCACAUUGGGACUGAGACACGGCCCAAACUCCUACGGGAGGCAGCAGUAGGGAAUCUUCCGCAAUGGGCGAAAGCCUGACGGAGCAAUGCCGCGUGAGUGAAGAAGGCCUUCGGGUCGUAAAACUCUGUUAUAAGAGAAGAACAAAUUGUAGAGUAACUGCUACAGUCUUGACGGUAUCUUAUCAGAAAGCCACGGCUAACUACGUGCCAGCAGCGG